UGGGGGAUAUUGCACAAUGGGCGAAAGCCUGAUGCAGCGACGCCGCGUGGGGGAUGAAGGCCUUCGGGUUGUAAACUUCUUUUGCUCUGAACAAGGCGCACCAUGGGGUGUGUUGAGUGUAGGGGUUGAUUAGCGCCGGCUAACUACGUGCCAGCAGCCGCGGUAAUACGUAGGGCGCGAGCGUUGUCCGGAAUUAUUGGGCGUAAAGGGGUUGUAGGUGGCUGGUUGCGUCUGUCGUGAAAGCUCAUGGCUUAACUGUGGGUUUGCGGUGGGUACGGGCUGGCUUGAGUGCAGUAGGGGAGGCUGGAAUUCCUGGUGUAGCGGUGGAAUGCGCAGAUAUCAGGAGGAAUACCGGUGGCGAAGGCGGGUCUCUGGGCUGUUACUGACACUGAGGAGCGAAAGCAUGGGGAGCGAACAGG
rnacentral:rRNA from 1 species